rnacentral:tRNA from 1 species
UAUUCGAUGACUGAAAGUAAGUAUAGAUCUUUUAAAUCUACUAUAGUAAUUUUACGACUACUUCGAAUAA